rnacentral:lncRNA from 1 species
AGAAAGGGAAAGAAUGUUGGCUCAAAUCUUUUACUCUUGGAAAUUUACAGCUACAUUAUGAAAGCAAGAGGCUAAGGAAAUGAGUGAGUCAUCCUUGAAGCUCAAACUUGGCACGAUAUAUGGCUCAAUAAGGGCUCACAUGGCAAACAAACUAAACAAGAGCAUAAACUCACAAAGCAUUAGAGUUAACUUUCUGCCUCAAAAAGGAAAAAGAUG